GAAACUUGCUGAUAUUAUUGUGGAGAGAGUAGAGAUCUUCACUAUAUGCAAGGUGGGUGGAAGAAAUAUCUCUUAUAUUCAAGAACUUGCAUCAUCUUCUGAACUCAUUGCGGCCCCAUCAGGCAAGGGCAACACUAAUUCACAUUCUAGAACUUCAGAUAAAACGAUGUAAACAAGCUGUUGAGGAUAUAAAGAGGAGGAGAGAAGAAGCACAUGCACUUCUGAAGGAGUCCCUUUAAUCGUUGGAGGACACUAGUGCAUCUCUUACGUUGAAAUAGGGAGUGCUCAUGUAUGUUCCUACUCAAUGAUCAGAGCCCCUCAGACAGUUUCAUCUAAUACCUUUGGGGAGGGUCAUGGAAUCGCACUGGUCAAAGUUUCUCGGACAGACAGUUGCAUCUAGUACCUUCAUGCUUUUAAAUCAGAAACUUCUGGUUUUACCUUUCUAUUCUAGUGUCGAAAGGAAUGUAGUCCAUCUAGCUGUCAUUGACUGAUGGUAUCCAAGCAUUAACUCAGAUGGCAUGGAUAGAUGGAGGAUAGAUUAGAUUCAUUUCAAGUGGCAUAAUAGUAUUCUGUUCCAUCACUCUGUAACUUUUACUCAUCUAAUAUCAAUUGCAGUGAAUUCUGACAAACUCAAGAGAUUAUUUACACACAACCCUACUGCAAAAAUGUUAUCAUUUUGUGAUAACGCAGUACAUGCAUGUUGGUUUUGGGUAUGUUUGCUAGACAUUGACAUUAAAUGGAGUCCACCUUAAUAUGGUGGGGUGACUUGGUGUUUUCCAUUUUGCAUCCAUUGUAACAUUGUAACACAGACCUAGGUACUAUUAGUCCAUUGUCAUUGACCUAAUCAAGGAAAUGGUUGAGGAGAAAGAGGGAAUUCCUCCAGUGCAACAAGGGCUGAUUUAUGCUGGCAAGCAGCUUGGAGAUGACAAAACUGCAAAAGACUACAACAUUGUAUUGUAGUAUUGUAUCAAUUGAUCAGUUC
rnacentral:lncRNA from 1 species